GAUGAACGCUAGCGGCAGGCCUAACACAUGCAAGUCGAGGGGCAGCACGUCUUCGGAUGGUGGCGACCGGCGCACGGGUGCGUAACGCGUAUGCAACCUACCUCUUACAGUGGGAUAGCCCAGAGAAAUUUGGAUUAAUACCGCAUAGUAUACAGAUUCAGCAUUAGGACUGUAUUAAACAUUUAUGGGUAAGAGAUGGGCAUGCGUUCUAUUAGUUAGUUGGAGUGGUAACGGCACCCCAAGACAGCGAUAGAUAGGGGCCCUGAGAGGGGGAUCCCCCGACACUGGUACUGAGACACGGACCAGACUCCUACGGGAGGCAGCAGUGAGGAAUAUUGGACAAUGGGCGAGAGCCUGAUCCAGCCAUGCCGCGUGCAGGAAGACGGCCCUAUGGGUUGUAAACUGCUUUUGUACGGGAAGAACACCCCCUCGUGAGGGGGCUUGGACGGUACCGUAAGAAUAAGGAUCGGCUAACUCCGUGCCAGCAGCCGCGGU
rnacentral:rRNA from 1 species